ACAUAUCUUAGUGGUAGAACUUUUGAUUCCAAAACAAAAGGUCCUUGCUUCAAAUCCAAGUAUAUGUA
rnacentral:tRNA from 1 species